GGGGCGGACUUUUAAUGGACGCAGCUAUUUCGCGGGAAUAUCUUAGUAAAUUCGCUCGGAAAUUAUACAUUAAUUAGCUAGAAGGGUGGAAGUGCGUGAAAUGUGCGCGUGUUUUUUGUUAUUCUAUUUUUAGAAAAAAAAAACUGAGGACUGGGUUUAUCUCGUGACUGCAGUUGUUUUUAUGAAGAAGAACUUGAACGUUGGAGUUUUGUGAAGCUAGUGAAUUGCUUACGUUAUUCGCACUGUUGGAGCCGCUCGUGGUGCUGUAUCGUCGAUCGUUUUCCAAACUUGAUGCCUCCUCGGACACGGGACUUAUUGGACCAACUGUACGGAGCCUGUAACAUCAAAAGGCAAAGGGAAAGCCCCAAUGUUGGCCAAUUGUUGCUGUGCUUGAUACUGAGGAACGUCUGGAUGGAGUGCUUCGUGUGCUUGGCACCAUAGUUUUUUGAGAACCACUCUCAUCGUUAUCCCUUUGUUUUGGGGUAAUUGACUCCACGCUCUGCGCUUCCUCCAUUCUGUUAUUUCAAUCAGUAAAAUCCAGGCAGACGUGAGUGAAAUGAAUGAAUAUCGAAGCAUGAGCGAGAAAUCCACCGACACAGGAUGCCCUGGCCACCACAAUUUCAUCACUGAAGAACUCGAGAAGUAGUCUCUCUUCACUUGAAAUUAUUGUGCCAGAUUCUGAUGGACUUUUAUCCAAUGCAAUAUCAGCUAAGAGUUCAGCACUCAAUGAAUCCCCAUCUCGCGCUCUCACGUACUGUCCAGGGCACGGGAACUUUGUUUGAUCGAAGUGAAGCUUGAUCGCGUAUUC